rnacentral:rRNA from 1 species
UAGGGAAUAUUCCGCAAUGGGCGAAAGCCUGACGGAGCAACGCCGCGUGAGUGAAGAAGGUCUUCGGAUCGUAAAGCUCUGUCAACAGGGACGAAACAAGACGGUACCUGAGAAGGAAGCCACGGCAAACUACGUGCCAGCAGCCGCGGUAAUACGUAGGUGGCAAGCGUUGUCCGGAAUAACUGGGCGUAAAGCGCAUGUAGACGGCAUGAUAAGCCAAAUGUGAAAUGUAGGGGCUCAACCCCGUACACUGCGAUUGGAACUGUCAAGCUUGAGUGCAGGAGAGGCAAAUGGAAUUCCCAGUGUAGCAGUGAAAUGCGUAGAGAUUGGGAGGAACACCGAGUGGCGAAGGCGAUUUGCUGGACUGCAACUGACGUUGAGAUGCGAAAGCCAGGGGAGC